CCCCAUACGAUCUCUUAUCAUUCCAUCAAAACUAGCUGUGCCUGGAUUUCCAAAAGAGCUUCCAUCAAAUUCAGUUUGUAUGCAUUAGCAGGUGGUGGCGUUCAAACGACAUCCAUUUGAUUUGAUCAAGGAGAAAAUAAACUGACCACAACCCUAUGAUUUGCAAUGAUUUAGCUUUUUGGGAUGAAUUUAACAUCUUUUAUGUAUAAAAAAACUAAUAUGCUACCCAUGCGAAGAUAUUGGAUUUCAGCAUCGAAGAAUCAAUGCUCAAGCCUUCGAAUACAUUUUUGAUAUUG
rnacentral:lncRNA from 1 species